UCCACAUGUAGCCGGUGCGCCUAUAAAUGUUAGGGUUGAAUGAAUGAUUGAAGAUUCCUGGGUGAAUGGUCCACUAGGCUAUAGCUGGGAUUCCUCCCACAAAGGGAGACACCUGAGAAGUUGUAAGUCCUCCUGUUAAAAGGAAAGCUUUGUUAGUAUAACCUCUCUUGUCCACCCCACCUCAGUUUGGUGAGGAGAAAGCUCAGAGCUUUCCCCAGUGCUUCCAUGAACUUUGGCCAGUAAAGACUUAAAAUAUCAUAUCAUAAGAUGAGAGAAACCAGUUGGAACUUAAUUUCUAUCCCGAAUCCUUCGAUUAUUCAAAGAAAAACAAAACACGGUCAACAGGCAGUGGAACUCCUCACUCCAAUGUGAUAUUCCUGAGAGAAUAUUGACUUAUUGCACUUCGUCUCUGGGACAAGUAUUGAACAUAGGGGAAGCCUUAUAUAAAAUUGUUCAAUAAACAAAAGAUGUCUUUAACAUGUGUUUGAGAUCUUUCUUCUCAUGAUUCCAUGUUAGGUACAACAACUAUGACCGGGCUGUCAUCAAUACCGUUCCUUAUGAUGUCGUCCAUCGCUGGUAUACAGCACACCGGACUCUAACGAUAGAGUUGAGGAGACCUGAGAAUGAGUUUUGGGUCAAACUAAAGCCUGGCAGGGUCCUAUUUAUAGACAACUGGCGUGUCCUACAUGGCAGGGAAUGCUUCACUGGCUACCGCCAACUCUGUGGCUGCUAUUUAACAAGGGAUGAUGUAUUAAACACUGCUCGCCUCUUGGGGCUUCAGGCUUAAAAUUGACAGCAUCGGGAUUAUGAAUACACCUGGCACCGCGGCUACCAGAAUUUCAUAUGGGCAGAAUAAUAUUGUGUCAAACUCUACUUCAGAUUGUCUCCUUAUCUCGUCCCACAAAACAGAAGCUGUCCCUUUCUCUAGUAGGGGAGACUUGUUAGAGAGGGGGGACUCUGAGCUAUCUAAUGUCAGACUUCUAGUGGGACAGCUCUCUUCCUCAUGUUAUAACAUGGAUCCACUUGUUUUAUUUAAACCUUUUAAUAUAAUUUUGGUCAAUCUCCUUCAGAAAUAUAAUCUCCAUAUUGAUAGGAAAGCAAUAAUUGCCAUGAGGUAGUGAUUUUUUUUCCCAAGUAGAUCAGUUAGAAAGAAAUGCAUUCUAGAAAUAACAAAAAUCCUGAUAAAGCAACAAUUUGCAAAAUUUUUGGUCUUAGGACACCUUAACACUCUUAAAAGUUAUUGAAGGCCCCAAGGAGUUCUUGGGUGUGGGUUCUAUCUAUUGAUACUAAUUGUUUUAGGUAUUAAGACUGGGAAAUAUUUAAAACCCAAGAACACAGAAGCACACAUCCCUCAGCUGUCAGAGAGAUGACAUAACCAUAUGUCAUGUAGCCUCUGGAAAAGUCCUCUGUCUCCUCACGAGAUAAUGAGAGGGGGAAAAAAAGCUACUAUUGCCUUUGUAACUUCCACUUAGCCUACUACAGGGCUAUGCACAUGCACAUCUGGGUUUCCAAAAGUCUGCUUAAUUUCAAAAGAAAAAUGUUUAAUUGAAUGUAACUCAUCUUGGUGUUAUUAUACAAAAUAAUUUUUAAUCUGCAGACCCACUAAAAGGGCCUCAGGGACUCCUCCAGGGGUCUUCAGACCAUACUUUGAGAACCCAUGGGCUAGCGACUACCUUGAGACAGUCCUUUACAUAGGCCUGGGGAUUAAAGGGUUUAGCUGAAACCCUAGAUUUUUCUCUAUAGCCUAAUAGAACUCCAAACAUUAUAAGAAUUGCUUGGUAGCAUAAGCUCAGGGAUAAGGUGGGAAUUGAGUUCAAAUAUAGUGUUUUAUCUUCGAUACAAAUCAUCUCUAUAGGAGUUAAAUUAGGAAGUCACAACAGCUCCUGUUGAACAAACUCAUCAGUGUGGUAGUCCUAUGAGGGAUAAUUGCAGAAAGGUUUUAGAGACUUGUGAGGUUCCAUAUGAUAAUUCUUUACACACACACACACACACACCACCACCACCACCACCACCACCACCAAGAGAAGAACACAGGUCUAUCCUGUAAUAUUAUUCAGGGAAAUCAGCAUGAUAGAUGCUGUGCCUCCGGAGAGUUCUCUGGAGAUUACUACCCAAAUGUGUAUUUUGGCAAUUUGGUGGUAUUUAGGAUGUAAUAUGUUUUCCUCCAUUUCUGCUAAUUUUUUUCUUUCUCUCUCUGUCUCUCUCAUAAAAUACUAUACAUGUUAAUUACCAAGAUUUGAAUGAGUCAAAUUUAGUAGCUUGCUGCUUUUAUUUUUUAAAUGGCUUCUUUUAUGUAUGGGGGGAGGGCAGGUUAUGAGGCUUCUUUUCCCUCAGCUUUCAUUGAAAGUGAAGAUGUACAAUAACCACAUUGACCACUGUAGAAUGAUGAAAGAGAAUCUAGGCUAGGAUGCACACGAGAGGGGGGAAAAGGCAUUAUUAGUGAAGAUAGGAGUUACAAAGCAAAGCAAAGUCAGUAUUCAGAUAGAGAAUAGAGCCUAAUCUGAUGUUUGCAGGGAGUUCCUAGAUCACAUUUGGCAAUUUACACAUUAUUUUAUUGACACAUCCAGUGCUCCAAAAUGUGUUCCCAAAAUAUUUCGGCAUUUUAUUUGUACUAUAUAGGAAUCUUUAGGGGAGUCCAUGAAAUUUGUUUUCCUCAUAGGUCAAAGGACUGAUAAUUAACUUUGGUUCUUAAGGAGUAUGCCCUUUAGCAAUAAGAACAGCAAUAACAUUUUACCCUGAAGUUUUUUCUCUAUACCUACUAUUAUGCACUCCUAAAAUAUGUCAUCAUUAGUCUUCAUGAGGAUGUUUACCAUUUUUGAAGUUUUGUGUAAAUUAGCCUUGAAGAUUACACUAUAACUGAGGUCAGCCUUGGUUUACGGCCAGCAAAGGACAUGAUCAUGGCCCUGGAGAGAUGAGGACACAAAGCAAAUCAAUUCCCCCACUUACUGAAGGACUCCCCUUACCUUCUGUCUCUCCUGACACCUUGACUCAUUAAUUAUUUUACCCUCCUUUUUGGAAAUUUGCAACCAAUCCUUCUCAACAAUGUACUCCCUUUGGUACAUUGAAGAAAAAGAGAAGGGAAUUAUUUGAGUCCUGAUCACGAUGCAUUGAAAACUUCCUAUGUGAGAUGUUUCUUUUUUUUACAUCUCUUCCAGGUGUCCCUGAGCAUAUAAGCAUGGGUCUAUGUCUACCAAGCUCACUGUAGAGCCACUUUUGCCUUUUGCUAUGGUGGAAUGGGAUCUGUAGGGUCAGGAACACAGCACCUAACACAGUGCCUUAUGGACAGUAGUUUUAUAAUACAGAUGUGUUGGAAGAAUAAA